AACGUAGGAGACGAACGUUAUCCGGAGUUACUGGGCGUAAAGGGCGCGUAGGCGGACAGUUAAGUUGGGGGUGAAAGCCCGGGGCUCAACCUCGGAAUUGCCUUCAAUACUGGCUGUCUUGAGUGUGAGAGAGGUGUGUGGAACUCCGAGUGUAGAGGUGAAAUUCGUAGAUAUUCGGAAGAACACCAGGUGCGAAGGCGACACACUGGCUCACUACUGACGCUGAGGCGCGAAAGCGUGGGGAGCAAACAGG
rnacentral:rRNA from 1 species